rnacentral:rRNA from 1 species
GACGAACGCUGGCGGCGUGCUUAACACAUGCAAGUCGAACGGAAAGGCCCUGCUCUUGUGGCGUGCUCGAGUGGCGCACGCGUGAGUAUCACGCGUGUAUCCCGCCCCUGUCUGUCUGAUAACUUCUCGAAACACGGGCUAUUACCGGAGAUGAGCUCCUGCUCCAUGGUGGUCGUUGGAAAGUUUCGGCGGUUGGGGAUGGACUGGCGGCUUAUCCGCUUGUUGGGGUGGUAGUGGCUUACGAAGGCUUUGACGGGUAGCCGGCCUGAGAGGGGGAACGGGCACAUGAGGACUGAGAUACGGCCCAGAAUCGAACGGGAGGCAGUAGUGGGGAGUAUGACACAAUGGGGGGAAGCCUGAUGCGACGACGCCGCGUGCGGGAAGACGGCCUUCGAGUGGUAAACCGCUGUGGCCUGUGACGAAGCGUGAGUGACGGUAACGGGUAAGGAAGCACCGGCUAACUACGUG